rnacentral:rRNA from 1 species
GUGAGGAAUUUUGCGCAAUGGGGGCAACCCUGACGCAGCGACGCCGCGUGGAGGACGAAGUCUUUCGGGAUGUAAACUCCUGUCAGUGGGGACGAUAAUGACGGUACCCACAGAGGAAGCACCGGCUAACUCCGUGCCAGCAGCCGCGGUAAGACGGAGGGUGCAAGCGUUGUUCGGAAUUACUGGGCGUAAAGCGUAUGUAGGCGGCAAGUUAAGUUCAAUGUUAAAGCCCACGGCUCAACCGAGGAGAUGCAUUGAAUACUGGCUAGCUAGAGGGUGUUAGAGGAAGACGGAAUUCCCAGUGUAGCGGUGAAAUGCGUAGAUAUUGGGAGGAACAUCGGUAGCGAAAGCGGUCUUCUGGGACAUACCUGACGCUGAGGUACGAAAGCGUGGGGAGCAAACGGGAUUAGAUACCCGGGUAGUCC